GAGGCUUUAGCUUAAUUAAAGUGUCUGAGUUGCAUUCAGGAGAUGUGUUUAAAUGACGCAAGUCUUA
rnacentral:tRNA from 5 species